UACAGAGGUCUCAAGCGUUGUUCGGAUUCAUUGGGCGUAAAGGGCGCGUAGGCGGCGGGGUAAGUCGGGUGUGAAAUCUCAGAGCUCAACUCUGAAACUGCACUCGAUACUGCUCUGCUUGAGGACUGGAGAGGAGACUGGAAUUCACGGUGUAGCAGUGAAAUGCGUAGAUAUCGUGAGGAAGACCAGUGGCGAAGGCGGGUCUCUGGACAGUACCUGACGCUGAGGCGCGAAGGCCAGGGGAGCAAACGGG
rnacentral:rRNA from 1 species